rnacentral:sRNA from 1 species
UCAUAGCCCCGAUUGAAGUAAAAAUACAGCUGAAGAAAAUAAUAUUGUUUUCUUGCCUAAAAGAGCGACCAGCGGAAGCUCCUUUUAGUCAAUUGAAAACAAAUUAUUUUCUUCAGCUGUAUUGUAAUGUAAAGCGGGAAACAGC